rnacentral:rRNA from 1 species
AUUGAACGCUGGCGGCAGGCCUAACACAUGCAAGUCGAGCGAGCGGCGGACGGGUGAGUAAUGUAUGGGGACUGCCCGAUAGAGGGGGAUAACUACUGGAAACGGUAGCUAAUACCGCAUACUAUCGGAUAACCCAUAUGGGAUUAGCUAGUAGGUGAGGUAAGGGCUCACCUAGGCGACGAUCCCUAGCUGUUCUGAGAGGAUGAGCAGCAAAACUGUGACUGAGACAGGGCCCAGACUCCUAGGGAGGCAGCAGUGGGGAAGAGUGCACAAGGGGCGCAAGCCUGAUGCAGCCAUGCCGCGUGUAUGAAGAAGGCACUAGGGUUGUAAAGUACUUUCAGGCGGGAGGGGUUACCGACAGAAGAAGCACCGGCUAACUCCGUGCCAGCGGCCGCGUAAUAC